rnacentral:rRNA from 1 species
ACAAGCGGUGGAGUAUGUGGUUUAAUUCGACGCACGCGCAGAACCUUACCUAGACUUGACAUCCCGGGGAUUUUCUGGAAACAGAGAAGUGCUUUAGCAAUAAAGAACCCGGUGACAGGUGCUGCAUGGCUGUCGUCAGCUCGUGUCGUGAGAUGUUGGGUUAAGUCCCGCAACGAGCGCAACCCUCGCCUUUAGUUGCCAGCAUUCAGUUGGGCACUCUAGAGGGACUGCCGGUGUCAAACCGGAGGAAGGUGGGAUGACGUCAAGUCCUCAUGGCCUUUAUGUCUAGGGCUACACACGUACUACAAUGGCCGGUACAAAGGGCAGCCACUCAGCGAUGAGGCGCUAAUCCCAUAAAGCCGGUCUCAGUCCGGAUCGCAGUCUGCAACUCGACUGCGUGAAGUUGGAAUCGCUAGUAAUCGUAGAUCAGCAUGCUACGGUGAAUACGUUCCCGGGCCUU